UAAUGCAAGUUGAGCGCUGAAGGUUGGUACUUGUACCGACUGGAUGAGCAGCGAACGGGUGAGUAACGCGUGGGGAAUCUGCCUUUGAGCGGGGGACAACAUUUGGAAACGAAUGCUAAUACCGCAUAAAAACUUUAAACACAAGUUUUAAGUUUGAAAGAUGCAAUUGCAUCACUCAAAGAUGAUCCCGCGUUGUAUUAGCUAGUUGGUGAGGUAAAGGCUCACCAAGGCGAUGAUACAUAGCCGACCUGAGAGGGUGAUCGGCCACAUUGGGACUGAGACACGGCCCAAACUCCUACGGGAGGCAGCAGUAGGGAAUCUUCGGCAAUGGACGAAAGUCUGACCGAGCAACSCCGCGUGAGUGAAGAAGGUUUUCGGAUCGUAAAACUCUGUUGGUAGAGAAGAACGUUGGUGAGAGUGGAAAGYUCAUCAAGUGACGGUAACUACCCAGAAAGGGACGGCUAACUACGUGCCAGCAGCCGCGGUAAUACGUAGGUCCCGAGCGUUGUCCGGAUUUAUUGGGCGUAAAGCGAGCGCAGGUGGUUUAUUAAGUCUGGUGUAAAAGGCAGUGGCUCAACCAUUGUAUGCAUUGGAAACUGGUAGACUUGAGUGCAGGAGAGGAGAGUGGAAUUCCAUGUGUAGCGGUGAAAUGCGUAGAUAUAUGGAGGAACACCGGUGGCGAAAGCGGCUCUCUGGCCUGUAACUGACACUGAGGCUCGAAAGCGUGGGGAGCAAACAGGAUUAGAUACCCUGGUAGUCCACGCCGUAAACGAUGAGUGCUAGAUGUAGGGAGCUAUAAGUUCUCUGUAUCGCAGCUAACGCAAUAAGCACUCCGCCUGGGGAGUACGACCGCAAGGUUGAAACUCAAAGGAAUUGACGGGGGCCCGCACAAGCGGUGGAGCAUGUGGUUUAAUUCGAAGCAACGSGAARAACCUUACCAGGKCUUGACAUACUCGUGCUAUUCCUARAGAUAAGGAAGUUCCUUCCGGGACMCGGGAUACAGGUGGUGCAUGGUUGUCGUCAGCUCSKGKCSUGAGAAUGUUGGGUUAAGUCCCGCMACSARCGCMACCCCUAUUGUUAGUUGCCAUCAUUAAGUUGGGCACUCUAACGAGACUGCCGGUGAUAAACCGGAGGAAGGUGGGGAUGACGUCAAAUCAUCAUGCCCCUUAUGACCUGGGCUACACACGUGCUACAAUGGAUGGUACAACGAGUCGCGAGACAGUGAUGUUUAGCUAAUCUCUUAAAACCAUUCUCAGUUCGGAUUGUAGGCUGCAACUCGCCUACAUGAAGUCGGAAUCGCUAGUAAUCGCGGAUCAGCACGCCGCGGUGAAUACGUUCCCGGGCCUUGUACACACCGCCCGUCACACCACGGGAGUUGGGAGUACCCGAAGUAGGUUGCCUAACCGCAAGGAGGGCGCUCCUA
rnacentral:rRNA from 1 species